GUAAUGAUAUAGUGGAAAUUUCACUUGACUACGCACCCCAUUGAUCAUUCUGCUCAAGCAGCUAGGCUUAGAAAAGAGGACAUCAGUGUUUAAUUUAAUUAUUUGUGCACAAUUAUAAGAGGAAAAAAACAUCCCAAAUUAAAUAAUUGUAGUUAAGAAAUAAAGUGUACAUUACUUUUUUAAUCCCCACUUUGAGUAAGCUUAUAUACAGCGGCUACUAGCCUAGCUACAUGAUGUGAGCCAGCCAAGUCUCACCAUAUAUACACCGUGUCCACACACAAAAAAUACAACUAAAACUUGUCUCAUGUGAUAGAUUCGCAUAUAAAAUCCUCGUAUGAUGAGAUGACCAACGCCAAAAACUCCAGAGCACCCACCUGCACAAAAACUCGAGAGAAGAUGGAGAAAGGAAUUAACAGCCCAAAAAGAAUGAAGAGCCAUCUCUGCAUCCCCAGGCUUAGAGUCAACACAACCUGCACAAUCAAGAACCACCGUUUAUCCCCAAUGACUCUCCUUGAACGUUUUCGACAAGCUGUGUUUCGUCUGAUGAUGUUAUCUGCUCUGUCUAAGGCCACACAUAACGCUGCCGGAUCAUCGCCGGAUCAUCAUGUAAUGAAGAAGAGAUCAUCUUAUUAUCCUGCUGAUCCUCAUCAUAGUGAAGCUGUUGCAGACUGUAUAGAGUUUAUCAAGAAAUCAUCAUUGACCGAUCAGGAGGAGAUCAACCGUGACUCUACUGCUAGUAGCUCCUUCGAUGACACCGGUGAGAUGGCCAUGCCUGUCCCGGUCACGUGAGACAGGUUUCAUUUAAUUUGUGUCCAUCCUUUUUUUUUUUUUUUUUUCUUAUAGAUUGAUUGGUGUAUAAUUGUAAUUGAAUUUAUUAGCUUCUUGUUUGGAGGAUGAUUAAUGUUGUGAAUUGUGAUCUUAAGGUGUGGGGUGGUAAUACACAGCUCGCAAUAACCUCAUUGUGUACGGAAAUGACAGGAAAUUGUAGAUUAUAUUAUUUCUAUGAUCCUUUUCUUGGGGUUUUUUUUUUCUACUCUAAGUAUACCGUGUGCUUGAGAAUACAGUUAAAAUUAAAUUUUUUAAAAAUUAAAUUUUUUUAUGUUUUCAAAUCAUUUUAAUAGGUUGAUGUCAAAAAUAAUUUUUUUAAAAUAAAUAAAAAUUAUUAUUUUAAUAUAUUUCUAAAUAAACCCUCCUUAAAAUACUCUGAAUAAUGUCGUGUAUAACUGUUAAAUUACAUCCUAUCAAACAAAUAAUAACUGUUAAAUUACAUCCUAUCAAACAAAUAAAAAAAAAGAGAUUUAAACCAGAAUAAAUAUAAAUGUUCGCUAUCCAACCUUAAAAUGGUAGAUGGGCCCUGGUCGGUGGUUGAUUGAUGUUUGACUGCUCACCGUUGGCAAAUGGUCCCUCAUUUUCACGGGAAACUUGUCAAAAACUGGGCUCCACGAGCAUAUCAUUCAUUUGUUUCUGCUUUCCAAGAAGAAAGCCCACAUAAAACAUCGACCAAUUUCAGACGUUAAAAUCUUCUUUGAGUCCCUCUACUCUUGAUCUUACAUUAUGUUUCCUGUAUUUUUAUUUAUACUAAUUCCAAUCCUCUAUUUUCAAAAUUACUUUUGUUUAGUUCCUUAUUUGAUUAGAAGCUUCGGUUGCCUUAAAAUCAUCAUGUUGUAUCCCACCAUACCAUGAUACAGUAAUAAUAAUAGUAAUACAGUGGGAUUCUAAGAAAAAAAUAAUGUAUGAUUUUACGCGUAAAAAUGUUAAUUAUCGGUAUAAGCCUUACGUACAAUCGUGUUAUUUUGACCGAAAGUUGUUAAAUUCUAAACAAAUUUUUAUGAAGGUUAUGGAUGGAAGCAUAAUUUUAAAGCCCCGCCCGGCCCGGCGGGUCGACCUGGCUGACCCGGGGCUGGAACCGAGUCGGGUUGAUGAAAAAACCGGUCAGGGAUUUGGUCCGGUAAAACCCGGUCGAUCCGAUGGGUCAACCCGGGGAAACCCGACUGAGACCCGGCUAUACCGGGUCGGGUUGAUGAAAAAACCGGUCAGGAAUUUGGCCCGGUAAAACCCGGUCGAUCCAGCGGGUCAACCCGGGGAAACCCGACUGAGACUCGGCUAUGUUUUUUAAUAUAUAUAUAUAUAUAUAUAUAUAUAUAUAUAUAUAUAUAUAUAUAGUUUUGGAUUUUUUUUUGUUAAGGAUCUUUGUAAGGUCAUAGGUAUUGGUACUGGUUGAGGGUAAUAUAGAGCGGUUUGGAGGGUUGGAAGGUAGAUGCUCUGGUUUGCUAAAGUCUUUCACCAGCUUAUCUAAAUAGGUUUUUUGGAGCUGAGAAUCAUCAAGUCUUUUGAUGGCCUCAAGGAUAAAUUCUUGAUCUUGGGUUAGGACAUUGACUUGUUUGGAGUCUGUAGAUGUAUUUGAAGUAGCACUGGAAGUUACUAUUUCAUCAAAUCUAAGUCACAAUACAUUUUCAAAACUAAAUUUCAAAAUAUUUUAACUAUGAAAGAAGGCUUUUAUCAUGAAAACCCUUCCAUUAUAGCUUCAAAACUAUUCCCUCCACAUUGGCAUUACAAAACCUGGGAUUUAACAAAAUCUCAAUCAUACUAUACCGCCAUCCUUGAAAUCACAAACUCUGUCAAAUUCAAACAUAUAUAUAUAUAAAGUAAUCCCAUCCGUAGUACAAAUUGUUUGGUUCUUGUACUACAAGAAGAUCAGAGGAAUUUAAGUUCAAGGCAAGCUUUUUACUUGUUUGGUUCUCUUCAUUUCAGAUCUGCAAAUCAAGGUAAGAUUAAGUUGUUGUUAUCUUCAAUUUUUUGUUCUUCAUUUGGGAAAGGCUCUAUCUCUCACCUCCUCUUCCAUUGCUGUCAAAUAGAAGAUUAAAAUUCUGGUUUGGGAAUGAAAAUGAUAUGGAAUAAAUGAGGAAAUUGUGGGGUUUUUUUACUGUUGCAAAAUAAGGAAUUAAAACCGUGCAAUUUAGUUUUUACAAGAAAGAAACAGAAACCAAAGAGCAAUAAAUGCCAAGUUUGUAUGAGGGAGGGCCGGAGGGGUAUGAGUUGUGUCUACAACUUGCAUACCUUUAUUGGUUUGUAGCAGCAUCAAAUGCCAGCGUUCUGGUUUUCUAUGGGUCAAGCCAGCUGUUCUCAAUCGCUCUUUCCAAUUUCUAUGGCUACAUACUUUGCUUUGAAUUGGUCUCUUCUAAAAAGGUCUUUCAGAUUCAUUCUCAUCCUGAUCUACCAUAAAAAUUUUGGAAUCUACAAAAACAUUCUAGGAGAGGGCUCAUAAUGAUCUUUAAUGUGAGAUAUGUUGUGGGGGUCCUGUAUAAGAUUGAAGAGUUGAGAGUUGUUGGGCACAAGGGGAUCUUGAAUCAAAGAAUUCUUGUUCGGCAAACGAAAUAGAAAAAAUAGCAUUGGUUCAGAAAAAGUAGCAUUGGUUCCAAACAAACGAAAUAGCAUUGGUUGGAAUUCUUUUUUUUUGUCAACUCGGGUCAACCCAUCUGACCCGUGACCUGAUUGUUAUACCAGGUCGACCAUCGGGUCGGGUUUAGAAACUAUGUAUGAAAGUCAUCAAUGAAUUAGAUUAAAAAUCACUACGAUGUAAGUAAAUGAAAUGGUACGCAAAAUUUGGAUUUUUGACGUAAAAUUAUCUAAUGACCAGUUUUACAAUAUCAAUUAUAUCUCUCAAUCCGAUUGUUUGAACAUGCUAAGAUUUACGAGUAGUCUUUUGACAUUAUUCUAACUUGGGUUGAAUUUUCAGGUCAAUCGGAAUCCAGAAAAGCCUUGUGAAAAUACCAACAGACCAGAAUUAGAUAUAAAGGAACAUAUAGAUAUUUAGGAAAGGCAAUGUGGUCUUUUCAUAUAUUGUAAUAAAAAUAUAUAUGAAGUUAAGAAAAAAUGAUUUGAAAAGAAGGCAGUGCUCUUGUAUGCAUUAUUAUAAGUGUUAAUAAUUGGGGGCAUUGUAGUUUUUUUCAUAUAAAUAAGGUAAAAAAAGAAAAGAUACCAUAUUUUGGAGAGAAAUCGUACUUAAGAGGAAGAGAAAGAGGGAGAAGGUGAAGAAGAGAAAAGAGAUAGAGGAAGAAAUGAAGAAAAAGUUGAGAGAUGGAUGGUUAAUGAGACUAGUGCCCUGGUUAAUGAGCUAUCGAAAAAACUAGUUAUAUAGUUAAUGAGAUUAGUGCCCCGGUUAAAGGCUAAUUGGAGAAACUAGUUACCCUAAUUAAUGAGACUAGUGCCUUAAUAAAUAGACACUUAGAAAAACCAGUUAAUUUAGUAAUGGAACAAAUGCCUAGUUUGGGCUAGAGAGGACAUUGGUAUGUCCUUAAAUUGUGUUAAUUGUAUUGAUUUGUAAGGUUAUAGGUAAAAUAAGAAAUUAACUAUUUAGUAAUUGAUGUGAUAAAUAUAUAGAAGAGAUAAUAGAAAAUAUUCAUUGUGUAUAAAGCUAAUUAUAUUUGCCAUUAAAUAAAUUUUUACGUAAUUCACAACAUCAUGCCAAGUAGUAAAUCAUGUAAUUGGUAUGUAUAGUAACAUGUAAUGUAGUAAGGUGUAUAUGAGUUUGGUUGUGUUGACAUAUCAAUGACUGUGUAUUUAAUUAGCCCUACCGACAAAGUUUAAUGGAAAAUAAAGAUGAUUUAAGCAAGUCUUGCAAGUAUAAAAGUAAUGAAAGGUUAUAUGAUAAAUUAUAAAUAAUAGAAAUGGAUAUGAAAUAAGUGGAAUGAAUAAUGAAUCGAGGAAAUUUCUCAAUAUAACAAGAGUGUUAUAUGGAUUGAAGUAUGAUAUAUCAUAGAUGAAAUAAAUAUUAGGGAAGCAAAAAGAUGACAUGAGUUAAAUAUGUUAUGAAUUAAAUAACAAUAUUAAUUAGAUAUACUUAUGAAAUGAGUUAUGAUAUGUAUUAAAGGUGGUUGAGAGAAAAAAAUUAUAUGAUUUAUAUGUGUUGAGGAAAUAAAUUGGAGGUAAAAUCCAUGAGUUGUGAAAUAAUAAUAUUAAUAUAAAUUGAAUAUAUUCAUAAAAUGAAAAGGAGUUAUGAAAUAACCUCAAACAUUAGAUGAAAGAAAGUGUUUGAAUGAGACCAACCAAUUUUAAAGUUGUAAGAAAUAAAUCGUAUAGUGACAAGUUAAACUAAAUUAUGAAUGAAACAAUUAUCAUGAUACAAGGAUGAUAAGGUGAUGAAUAAAAUUAUGAGAAGAAAAUUUAUCAGGAAAUAAAGAAAAAUAAAAAAUGUUGAAAAUUGAUAUAAAAUCAACGUUCCUAAAGAAAAAAAAUGAUGAAAUUAGUUUUGAUCAUAUAAUUAUUAAACGUUAGUAAUUAGGAUGAUGCAAAUGUUUAAUAUGAUUUAUUUUGUAUAUGUCCCAUGCAAAUUCUUUCAAGAACAUCCAUUUCUUAGAGUCACUAAGCUACUCUAUUUUAUACAAAAAGAAUAUUUGUAUUUUUUUUAUAAAAAAAUUAUAAAUAGUUAGCGUGGAUGAAAAUUUUAACGAGAAAAUACGGAGUGUUACACAAUCCUAGAAGAAAAGAAAGAAGUCUUGUACAUAAAAAAAUAAAAAAAACAUGGUUGUAAUCCAUAACGAUACAUGAGUUGAUACAUAAUGUUUUUCUCACAUCUCUUGGUUUACUUUUGUAAUUAGUGUACUUAUAAUAAAAAAAAUUUGAUCGAAGAAUCCAUCAAAACAAAAAUAUCCCUUUUGCUAUGAAUAUAGCAAUGUUGAUUGUUUUGCCUCGACUAGCUUUCGAGAUAUUUAUUUGACUUGACAAAUUAACCUUAAUUCAUUAAUUUGGAAUCUAACUACAUCUAAUUUUACUUAUAAUUAGUUUUGUUUUCGUUUUUUAAAAUGAUUUUAUUUUUAGUUUUUUUAAACCCUUGAAACAAUAUUGUUUUAGUAUUGUAUUUUUUUAAAUCAUAAUUUAAAUCGACUCAUCAAUUUACAGAUCAACUUACUCCAUCCACGAUAUAUAUUUUACGUAUUUUACAAUAUCGAGGCAACUCCCAAAUAACUAUACCUAACUAUAUAAAAAAAUAUAUGUUUAAAUCUGGUGGCCAUCAUAUCAAUUUUGUAAUCUUCACAUCCACACGUAUAAUUAUAGAACUUGGAAUCAUGAUUAAUAGAAAGGAGGAACACUUUUCCUGCUCUUGGUCCAAAAAGUUCCCCAAACCACCCAAUCCAUGUGGGUUUUUUAGAUAUACAAUCGAGACAUGAAAUUUUGCUAUUCCAAUCUACAUGGACUGGUCUUGAUACAAAGCCCAUGUUCUAAGCCCAAAUGCAAACCAUUUACACUACCAAGAGAAGAGAAGAGAGUAAGAAAGGAAAAAACUGGAAAAGAAACUCAUUUCUUAUGCUUAGUCACAGUAUUUUCACAAAAACAAAGUCCUCAAUUGCUAAUCGGGACGCCAUAAUUUCAGUCGAACAAGUUGGGCCGGUCCGGGCAAUACAAGCCCGGGCCCCAUACUUCCCCAUAAAGAGUACCUACAAAACGCCAAAAUUAAAACCCAGCAGGUAAGAAUUCAGAAGCUCUGCCUGUUCAUCGAAGCUUGACACAUUUUCUUGUUCAAAAUCUCAAAUUUACCAGUUAAAAUUCAUUAACAAUGGUUGGUACGUAUUCAAUUUUAUCUUCUUCCUAAUCUCAUCCUCACUCGUUUCUUUAUGCUUAUUUUCUUAAAUCACUGAUUUUGUUUUUUUUUGUUAAAAAAACUUAGGGACGCAACAAGAGAGAGAAGAGAAAGUAUCAUUAGAACUAACAGAAGAAAUUCUUCAAAGCAUGGAAACUGGCAUGGUUUUUAGAGAUUAUGUAUGUUUCUUUCAUUUUUAAAACACCCCAUUUUAUAAUUCUUUCAGUUUUUCAGUAUUACUCACUUUUUGUUUCAUUAUUGGUCACAGAACGGAAGAAUUAGUUCCAUGGAUUUUCAUAAGACAUCAAGUUAUCUAGUAACUGCUAGUGACGAUGAAUCUAUUCGACUUUAUGAUGUUGCCGGCGCCGCGUAAGCUUUCUUUUCCUGCAAGCUUAUAGCUUAAGCUUUUAAUAUUUGAUAACAUCUUGGUGGAUAUUAGUCAUGUUAGAGUGAUUUUGUUAUGCCUGUCUUCAGAGCAGAUGGUGGGCAAAGGGGGAUGUUUUUGAAAAUUUUACGUAUUUGAAGAAAUUAUUGUUAUAUUUCGGAAAUUCAAUGCUGUAGGUAGUUGUGUUAGCGAAGUGUGUGAUUUAACUUCGGUAAGCAAAAGCAUUUGCUCGGAUUUGUUUUUUUUGUUAUGUUUUCAGGUUGAGUUACUGUAUAUCAUUUUUAUAUAGUAAAUCGUUUUGGUUGCUGGGAAUUAUAAUGAUUGCAAAACUGGGUUGAAAAUGCUAAUCUUCUGUCUAUUUGACUCUUUGUGAAUGAGAGAUUCAAGAAGAAAGUUUGAUAAGAAUUUAAAGGGGAUUUUUUACUAUUUGCUUGGUUUUAAUGCUAUAGAUGGCAGUUUUGCAACUCUUUUAUGUUAUUGGAGCUGGUUGAGCAAUAGAUUUGUUGAAUUUUUAUGUCAUCAUAGAAGUAUGGAUGUAAUUAUUUAAGGGAAGCGGCAUAUCUUGUUCAUAACAGAUUGAUAUUUUCUUGUUCUUAUUUUAUGGUGGUUGUUGGACCAUGUUUUCUUAUUGGCAUGAAUUAUGGAGACAACAUGUUUAACUUCAGAUGCUUGAAGGCAAUUAAUAGCAAAAAGUAUGGGGUUGAUCUGGUUUGCUUCACAUCUGAUCCUACAACUGUUUUAUACUCCUCAAAAAAUGGAUGGGAUGGUACGUUAGCCACAACUGCAUUUUUAUAAUAUCUUUUUGAUCAUUUAUUUAUUUUUCAGGGCUAGAUCAUGGAUUUAUGCUUGCUUUAUCAUGCUGUAUUUAAUACCAUGCAUAUAUUAUGGAUGCAGAAUCUCUGCGACUUCUCUCGUUGAACGAUAACAAGUAUUUGCGGUAUUUUAAGGGUCACCAUGACAGGUAAGGUUUCCAAUAUCGAUGGCAUUUAUUUCACUCCCUAGUGAUUGCUUCUACUGGACAUCUGUAUCAUGAAGUCACAUUUCAUGUUGUUUUUCUAAGGGUUGUCUCGCUAAGUUUGUGCUCUCGCAAAGAAUGCUUUAUCUCCGGUUCUCUCGAUCGAACUGUUUUGCUUUGGGAUCAACGAGCUGAAAAGUGCCAGGUUGAUAAGUUGGAAUAUAGAUGCUUGCUUAGAGAAAGGUGCUCUCUCUAUUCAUCUUGUAUUCUGAUUCCUUGUCUAUGCUGUAGGGUCUUUUACGUGUACAAGGAAGGCCUGCUGCAGCAUAUGAUGAUCAAGGGAUAGUCUUUGCAAUUGCAUUUGGAGGAUACAUUAGAAUGUUUGAUUCUCGCAAGUAUGAAAAGGUUAGUGUUUAUGCAUGAAAAAGUGUAAAGAGGAUUAGCUGUUGCAUAAGUAACUUCACAACUAUUUACCAAGGAUUUUUUUGUUUCAGGGUCCUUUUGACAUCUUUUCUGUUGGAGGAGAUGUAUCUGAUGCAAAUGCGGUAAAGUUCAGCAAUGAUGGAAGACUAAUGCUCUUGACUACCAUGGAUGGGCAUAUUCAUGUACUUGAUUCAUUCCGUGGAACACUUGUGAGUCUGAAUUUGAGUUUUUUUAAUACAUUUUCCUUUUCUUAUUAAAUGAUGAAGAUUUUGGAUGGUGAUUCAUGAACAGUUCAAUGAAUCAGUUAUCUACAUAUUUGCUGACCUUCCAUAUUCGCUGUUGUAUUAGUUAUCUACAUACAAUGUGAAACCAGUUUCAAUCAAUUCCACAUUAGAGGCAUCUUUCAGUCCUGAAGGAAAGUUCGUUGUAUCAGGUAUUGUAUCUGCCACUUCUUUGGAGUUGAGGUGACACUAAUUUAAAUCUUUUUUCAGUUAGUUGGUACCUCAGAUUUACAUGCUUGGAAUGAAGAGCUUCACAGUGGUUCUGUGUGUAAAAUUAUUAUUCAAUGGGAUCAAUCCUGCACAUGGGCUGAACCAUCAGAAAUAGAAAAUUUUUGAAGUGUUCAUAGAUAUAGUUGGGUCAGGUUUGAACUCAUAAUUUUAUCGAACCUAACUUUUGAUAUUUUACAAAUUGUAAACCCGAUCCAUUCAAUUUUUUUUUGGACCCGAGCGUGUUGUAUAUAUCUGGUUGGGCUAGAUUUUUUAUGGAUACUACAAAUAUCUAAGGGUUGGGCUUAAUUAGAACUAAGAUUUGGGCUGCAUAAAUUAGCUCAAAACCUGUUAUAAACUAAACUGUAGCAAAUAAUUUAGGCUUACUAAUCAAUUGACUAAAAUGGAAGAAUCAAUUGUAAAAAAAAGUACACAACAUAUAACAACAAAUUAAGUUCUGAACAACAACAACAAAAAAAAAAAAAUGAGAGAGAGAAACACAACAUAUAACAACAAAUUAAGUUCUGAACAACAACAACAACAAAAAAAAAAAAAUGAGAGAUUGGGUCAGGUUGAUUUGGUUCUAAAAAUCCUAAUCCGCCACGUGACCAGUGAUAUCUAUUUCUUAGGUUUUUUGAUCAACUAUCAUCUGUAAUAUUCAUAUUAUCUGAUUUUAAUGAGUUGGGUUGGGUUGGGUUAAAUAAUGUAAAUAUUAUAGACGAGCUGGUUUUUUUAAACACCGCUAGAAGAUUUGCUAGAAAAUUUAUCUGACAUCAAACCUAGAAUUCACCUGUUUUAAUAGGCAAGUCUUCCCUGUUGUGACUCCUUGCUAACUUUGCUUUCAUGGUUCUGAUAUUUUGACAGGUUCAGGUGAUGGCCGAGUGCAUGCUUGGAGUGUAAGGAGUGGGAAAGAAGUACAUUAAUAACCAUUAUUCUCUUACAUAUUUUCAAUUUGUUCCUUGAUUUACAUCAGACAUAGUGAUCUCUUUUCUUUGUCUGUGUAGGUUGCGAGUUGGGUGACAUAUGAAACUGAGCCUCAUGUCAUAAAAUGGGCACCUGGAAGUCUUAUGUUUGCUACUGGGUCUUCUGAGCUAUCAUUUUGGAUUCCAGACUUGUCUAAAUUAGCAGCUUAUGUUGGAAGGAAGUAGAAUUUCUUCAGUACUGCCCUUACAAUUUCAACCUUUAUGCAGCCAUGAGGUUUAUUGCAUCAUUUUUUUGGAUAAAAUUACCAACAAAACUUGAAUCUAGUGCUGGAUUCUCCUCGUAUCUUUUUUCAGAAAAUACAGUUCCUCUCCUUGCCUCUGGGGUUUCAGUUAUUGUAGGGAUUGUUUUUUGGUUUAGGGCAGUGGCAAUCAACUAUGCACUGUAUAAAUCAUCGCUCAACUUUCGAGCUUUUUUUGCGGUUGUAGAUGAGAAGUUGCUUGGGGGCUGUUACAGUAUCAACCUCGUAUCAUCGAAGUGUUCCAUAAAAAGCAUAUUGAAGUUCAGGUAUCAAAAUGUAACAUUCUACAAUACCUUGUAACCUUUUGAUUGUAUAGACGUUACAUGAUAUGAGUAGGCCAAUGAACGCACUAAAUUUCAUAGUUCUUUUACUUGUCAAUAGAAGUGAAUUUAUGCUUUAUACAAUCUACCAGUGCUUUAACUUCAUUUCCUCAGGUUUGUUUGUACAUGUAAAGGCACUUAUUUCUAUUUUCUCUGAUCAUAUCUGCAAUACUUUCUAGUAGCUUAUUUGCAUAUUAUCUUAUAGCUACACCACACCCUAUAUGUCUCAAACACUGCCUUCUUGUGGGUUUUACUAGCCAAAUUAUUUUUAAUGAAAGAGAAAAUUGAGAAUUAGAAAAUUGAUGUGUUCAUUUAAUGAAAUAAAGCAAAAUUAUAUGAACUAAUAAUUGUAAAAAAAGUUAACUUUAAUAAUAAAAAAAAAAUCGAUUUGGUGAUAUAAAGAGUUCAAUUAAGUUUUUUAUUUAUUUAAUUACAUGAAAAUAAAAAUAGUUUUUUAUCAUAAAUAUAAUUAUUUAAAAUUUGUAAAAAAAUAUAAUUGUUAGUAUAAAUUUUCUUCUUUAUUAAUAUAAUUUUUUUAACAAAAAAGUAUAUCUUUCUUUAGUUGUUUAUGGUAUAGAAACUAUAAAUAAUCAAAAUAAAGAUAAAAAAAAUUCUAAAAAUUAAAAAACAUCUAAAAAAAAUUGCUCUUUAAUUAAAAUCUCUUUCCCGUAUUAAUGCAUUCCUUCUCUUCUUUUGUUUGGCAAAAUAGGUUUUUAUCAUGAGCUUUUUUAAAACAAGAGCUUAUCAUAAUCUUAAAAUCAAUUUUUAAUAACAUAAAAUAAUGAAUUGAUAAUUUUCACAUGAAUGUAUUAAAAAUAUAACAAUAAUACUGUUGAGAAGAAUUAUAAAAAAAAUUACAAUAAAUACUUAAAAAGUAAAUAUUUCAUCCAUAUUUAAAGAAUUAUGCAUAUUAGGUUCAUAUAUAACUAUUUAGAAAAACAAAUUUUAGUAUUACUAUAAAAAAUAUUAAUAUCAUUUAAAAAUAAUGGCAUAAUUGGAUAAUUGUUUAAGUAUCAUUUAAAUAAAUUUAUUUUAAAAUAAUUCAAUAAAAAAUACAAAAAAAAAAACAAUGAGAAAAAAUAGAGCUACAAGUGCAUGAUUUGGACAUGCGCGACUGGCCUAAAUGAAACUCAUGUCAACUUGCUUGGUUUCUAUUUAUUUUUAAAUAGGGUAGAUUACAUGUCAUUUGACCUAUUUUGUUUUAAAAAAAAUUGGUAGAUGAUGAGUUGCCUACUUGAGUAGAUGACACGUCGACCACUUGUCAUCUUUUUUGUCCAUUGAAGGUGUUUUUGGUGGCUGAAAAAUCAGAGUUUAAGUUUUUAGACCUUGAAAACCCAGAUUUCAACCUUUUUUGUUUUACUUAAAAAUGAAAAACAAAUCUUAUAAACCUUUAUAACCUAUUUCUAACAAUAAAACACAUUUCAAUCAAUCUAAAAACUCAAAAUAAAAUAACAUAAAUCCCUAGACCCUGAUUUACUUUCUCGACAUCAUUGAAGGUGAAAACCAUCUUUAUUAAGUUUAUCUAUUGAAGAUGAAUCCAUCAACAUCAAAAUUAAAGUUAUUGGUGAUUAGAAUCUGAUCGCUCAAAAGCUUCCUCUCUGCUAAAUUUUUUUAGUAACUUUCUCUCUCAUCUCUUAUGACCUGAAACAUUAAACAAAUAAAGUUUGAGAUUGAAAAUAAAAAUAAAAAAUAGAAGGGUCUAAACUAAAACUAAAGUUAAAAUUAAGGAACUAAUGUGUAGAUUUACAUGACUUUUGAACAAUAAACACGAGAAAAAAAUUGUUAAUUUUUAACAAUAUCAAAUUUAGUCCAUUUCGUUUUAAUUUUAUCUUUUACAAUAAUUUAAAAAUUUUCCAUGUAAAAUUGUCAUGUCAUUGAAUCGCAAAAUAAUCUCCAUCACAUUGAGCACGUGCAAACAAGAAAUCUAAAGAGUGAAAAAAUCUAGGACAAAAACAAAAGAACUUUCAAGGACUAAAUUAGAAUCCACAACUUAAAUGUAAAAAAAAACUUGAUAGACUAAAAAAGAAAUUAGCUACAAAGUAUGUCACUUAUGAAUAAAAAAUUCUAAGAGGAUGAAUAAAAUAUUUAGUCUUUAUAAUAAUUGUUAAUAAUUUCUUUGUUGAUUUUAAUAAUCAAUAUUAAUGUUAAUGUGUCAUUGUUCAUUUGACUUUGUUAGAAAAAAUAGUAGUAGAAAGAAAACAAUAUUAUCAUGUCACACGAAACUUAUAUCAUUAGUUUAAGUAUAAUCACAUUAAAUAAUAAAAAAUCAUGUUUUUUAUUCAUGGUAUAAGUGUACCUUAUUUGCAUAAACAAUUAUUAUGAGAAUUAGGAUAAAGUUUUCUUUUGAGAGUUCCUUCUCCUCUUAUCUUUUCUAUGUUAUUUUCUUUUUUAUAUUUUUCUUCUCUCUUUCUUCUUUACUUGUAUGUUAAUGUUAGCAAACAUUAUAAGGGUGACGAGUUAUAGCCCUUGAUAAUUAUUGUGAGAAUACAAAACUCUUCAUCCUUUUCUCUUAUAUUAAUUUAUUAAUAUAAAUAAUAUUAAUAUGAAUUAAGCUAAUCUAUCAUAUAUGACUCAAAUAUAUUUUUUCACUUUAUCUUCCACUCACACAUGAUAGGAUGAAUUCUCUCAUUAAUUAUAUAAAAUUCAUACUUAACAAAUAGGCUAGAUAUUAAUUGUUAUAUAUUUGUUAAGAAUAUAUAAUGACUGUUAUUAAACCCGAUCCGGCCUGGUGGGUUGACCUGGUGGCUGGACCGUUCCAGGUUUAAUAAAAGACCGGCUGUGGCAACAGCCCGGCCAAACCCAGGCGACCCAGGACCCGGUCAAGCCGGGCGAACCAGGACGAGACUCGAUUUUUUUUUUUUAAAAUGUGGGAUUUGAAACCCAUUAAUAUAUAUACUCUAUGUUCUCAAGAAAAAAGUCAUGUUUUUUCAAUGUGGGAUAAAAAACCUUUUGGUUUAAAUACUUCAACUUAAAAGGAUAACAUAGUAUCUUUUCAAUGUGGGAUUUGAAACCCUUUCGUAUAUAUACUCUAUGUUCCCAAGAAAAAAAUCAUGUUUGUUCAAUGUGGGAUAAAAAACCUUUUGGUUUAAAUACUUCAACUUAAAAGGAUAACAUAGUAUCUUUUCAAUGUAGGAUUUGAAACCCUUUCAUAUAUAUACUCUAUGUUCCCAUGAAAAAAGUUAUGUUUUUUCAAUGAGGGAUUUGAAACCCAUUAGUAUAUAUACUCUAUUUUCCCAAGAAAAAAAUCAUGUUUUUUCAAUGUGGGAUAAAAAACCUUUUGGUUUAAAUACUUCAACUUAAAAGCUUAACAUAAUAUCUUUUUAAUGUGGGAUAAAUUUUUUUUUAAAAUAUUCUUUUAAACUUCAUAAUAUGUAUAAUCUAUAUUUACAUGGACUUUUUCAUAUGAAAUAUUAAAUUUUUUUUUAAUUUUCCCGGGUUGACCCGAGUUGACCCAUGAAACCCGGAACCCGGCCCCUUGGCUGGGUCAACCCCCGGGCCGGGUUUAAUAACUAUGUAUAUAACUUAUCGAAUAAUAGGAUAUCUAGUAGAUGCAAUAUACAACACUCUGGUCCCUAAGGAGCGUAGCGUGAUGGCAAAGGGUUUGAGAUCUACACAGCAGGUCUCGAGUUCGAGUCAGGGCGUGCAUCUCUUAUAAAAGCCUAGGACAGCCGGGGUUUUACUCGCUCACCUGGGCCCACAAAGUACGCUUUCCGGGGGGUGGGGUUUCCUCGAAUCCAAAAAAUAAUAAUAUACAAUACCUUGGAUCAUUUCUCAAAUCUUUUUAUCUCUCAUGAUAUCAUUCAUUAUACUUCCUGUAUUCAUAAUUAUAUUUUAUGAUAUAGAAAAACAUAAUUGGUCUACCAAUUACUACAAGUUGAUAUGAUAAUACUAAUAUGAUCUUUUUUUUCUCUCAAAUCCCUCAAUUUCUUUCUACUUGACUCGUUUUUCUAGUAAUGCCCAUGUAGAUCAUAUCAUUCAUAGCAACAUACUAAGAUAACAAAUAUCAUAUCUAAGUUUUGAGAAAUAAUCGAGAGUCAUAAAGGUGCAUAUAAAGAUUACUAAUAAUCUUUAAGGUCUCAUACAAUAUAAAAUUAAGAUCUUAGUUUUUAUUAUUCUUAUUGGUCAUAAUACGCACAUGUGGUAUGAAACACAUACUAUGAUAUUAUCUCAUCUAUUUUAAAGAGUAUGCCUUUGUCAAUAAUACCGUACAAAUGAUAGUUCAAACAUGCUAAAAGUUUAGAUAUACUAAAAGUCUUUGAGUUCACUUAUCUGAUAGUUUAGACAUACAAAUGAUAGUUCAAAACAUGCGAAUUGAAAAAAAAACAAGUAAACUCGGAUAAAUUUUCUAAACCUGGGUUAACCUCUAAAAUCUACAACAUGCGAAAUCCUUGACCCUGACAUAACUAAGAAGCUUAAUUCCUAAUCAAUUUAAUAUUGAAGGAUGAAACCAAAAAAAAAAAUCAAUUUAACCAAACUAAAAAAAACAGCAAUAAAAAGAAUGAGGAUAAAAUUCAAUAGGAAAAAAAAAAGGAUGAAAUUAAAAAAAUAAAUUUAAAAAUGAUCUCAAACAAAACAAAUAGUAAUCAAAAUAAUAGUGUUCAAAUUUAAAAACUGAGAAAAUUAAAGGGGGUUGAAAUUAAAAAAAAUCUAAUUUUAUAAAUUAUUUAAAAAAACAUUAUAAUCAAAAGAAUAAAAAUUAAAUAUAAAAAUUAACAAAUUAAAAAGUUAUUAUGAAAUUUUUAAGGAAUUGAUGUGAAAAAAAAAAAAAAAAAAAGACCGCCAGCAUAAAACAAGAGGGGCAUCUAACUUACGUGUUGUAUCAUAACUGAGAGAACACUGUGAUGAUUCAAAUGCCAAAGCGGAAAGCCCCAAAUGUGCCACUCGAAGGAUUAUUGUCAGGAUGCAAAUUUUUAUUUUUAUUUUCUUAUAUUAUUUUAUUAAUAUAAAUAAUAUUAAAAUGAAUAAGCUUGAAAUGGUUUACCCAAUUUUUUUUUUCCCUUCGUACUUUUAUAAAGACACAAACAAGUCGGCCCAACAAGGUUUGAGUUUAGCCACACGAGAUUGGCAGCAGAUUAAUGUUGUACGCUAACUCUGUGGCCAGUUGCCACUUUGGAUGUUAUAACAACCUUUUUCUUC
rnacentral:lncRNA from 1 species